ACGAACGCUGGCGGCGUGCUUAACACAUGCAAGUCGAACGGAAAGGCCCUGCUUUUGUGGGGUGCUCGAGUGGCGAACGGGUGAGUAACACGUGAGUAACCUGCCCUUGACUUUGGGAUAACUUCAGGAAACUGGGGCUAAUACCGGAUAGGAGCUCCUGCUGCAUGGUGGGGGUUGGAAAGUUUCGGCGGUUGGGGAUGGACUCGCGGCUUAUCAGCUUGUUGGUGGGGUAGUGGCUUACCAAGGCUUUGACGGGUAGCCGGCCUGAGAGGGUGACCGGCCACAUUGGGACUGAGAUACGGCCCAGACUCCUACGGGAGGCAGCAGUGGGGAAUAUUGCACAAUGGGCGGAAGCCUGAUGCAGCAACGCCGCGUGCGGGAUGACGGCCUUCGGGUUGUAAACCGCUUUCGCCUGUGACGAAGCGUGAGCGACGGUAAUGGGUAAAGAAGCACCGGCUAACUACGUG
rnacentral:rRNA from 1 species